ACGAACGCUGGCGGCGUGCUUAACACAUGCAAGUCGAACGAAGAGCGAUGGAAGCUUGCUUCUAUCAAUCUUAGUGGCCAACGGGUGAGUAACGCGUAAUCAACCUGCCCUUCAGAGGGGGACAACAGUUGGAAACGACUGCUAAUACCGCAUACGAUCUAAUCUCGGCAUCGAGGAUAGAUGAAAGGUGGCCUCUACAUGUAAGCUAUCACUGAAGGAGGGGAUUGCGUCUGAUUAGCUAGUUGGAGGGGUAACGGCCCACCAAGGCGAUGAUCAGUAGCCGGUCUGAGAGGAUGAACGGCCACAUUGGGACUGAGACACGGCCCAGACUCCUACGGGAGGCAGCAGUGGGGAAUCUUCCGCAAUGGACGAAAGUCUGACGGAGCAACGCCGCGUGAGUGAUGACGGCCUUCGGGUUGUAAAGCUCUGUUAAUCGGGACGAAAGGCCUUCUUGCGAACAGUUAGAAGGAUUGACGGUACCGGAAUAGAAAGCCACGGCUAACUACGUG
rnacentral:rRNA from 1 species